rnacentral:rRNA from 1 species
GAUGAACGCUGGCGGCGUGCCUAACACAUGCAAGUCGAGCGGAGAUAUAUGAACAGAUAGAGAUAUUUGGGAAUACAUCUUAGCGGCGGACGGGUGAGUAACACGUGAGGAACCUGCCUUACACUAAGGAAUAACAACGUGAAAACGUUGCUAAUACCGCAUAACACCGCACUAUGGCAUCAUAGAGCGGUCAAAGGAGAGAUCCGGUGUAAGAUGGCCUCGCGCCCGAUUAGUUAGUUGGUGGGGUAACGGCCCACCAAGACUACGAUCGGUAGCCGGACUGAGAGGUCGAACGGCCACAUUGGAACUGAGAGACGGUCCAGACUCCUACGGGAGGCAGCAGUGGGGAAUAUUGGGCAAUGGGGGAAACCCUGACCCAGCAACGCCGCGUGAAGGAAGAAGGCCUUGGUGUAACUCUUUGAUCAGGGAAGAAACAAAUAGAACGGUACCUAGAAAACAAAGACCAACGGACUAACUAACCGUAGUCCACGCAGCCGCCGGGUAAGUAACCGGUAAGACCGGUAG